rnacentral:rRNA from 1 species
AGAGGGGGUGCAAGCGUUAAUCGGAGUUACUGGGCGUAAAGCGUGCGUAGGGUGGAUAUUCAAGUCGGGAUGUGAAAGCCCCGGGCUUAACCUGGGAAUUGCGUUCGAUACUGGGUAUCUAGAGUAUGGUAGAGGAAAGUGGAAUUUCCGGUGUAGCGGUGAAAUGCGUAGAUAUCGGAAAGAACAUCAGUGGCGAAGGCGACUUUCUGGACCAAUACUGACACUGAGGUAACGAAAGCGGUGGGGAGACAAACAGGAUUAGAGACCCUGGUAGUCCACGCUAGUAAACGAUGAGAACUAGGCGUUAGUCCGCUUUGCGGAUUUAGUGCCGAAGCUAACGCGUUAAGUUCUCCGCCUGGGGAGUACGAUCGCAAGAUUA